GACGAACGCUGGCGGCGUGCUUAACACAUGCAAGUCGAACGAAGUGGCGAACGGGUGAGUAACGCGUAAUCAACCUGCCCUUCAGAGGGGGAUAACAGUUGGAAACGACUGCUAAUACCGCAUACUGAAGGAGGGGAUUGCGUCUGAUUAGCUAGUUGGCGGGGUAACGGCCCACCAAGGCGGUGAUCAGUAGGCGGGCUGAGAGGGAGAACGGCCACAGUGGGACUGAGGCGCUGCCCGAACUCCUACGGGAGGCAGCAGUGGGGAAUCUUCCGCAAUGGACGAAAGUCUGACGGAGCAACGCCGCGUGAGGGAGGAGGGCCUUCGGGUUGUAAAGCUCUUUUAAUCGGGACGCGGUACCGGAAGAGAAAGCCACGGCUAACUACGUGCCAGCAGCCGCGGUAAUAC
rnacentral:rRNA from 1 species